GACGAACGCUGGCGGCAUGCCUGACACAUGCAAGUCGAACGGAAAUAGCAAUAUUUUAGUGGCGGACGGGUGAGUAACACGUGAGCAAUCUGCCCUAUUCUACAGUAUAACUAGGAGAAAUUCUGGCUAAUCCUGUAUAAGACUCUGAUAUCGCAUGAUACAAGAGUAAAAGAUUUAUCGGAAUAGGAUGAGCUCGCGCCCCAUUAGCUAGUUGGUGAGAUAACAGCCCACCAAGGCGACGAUGGGUAGCCGGCCUGAGAGGGUGAACGGCCACACUGGAACUGAGACACGGUCCAGACUCCUACGGGAGGCAGCAGUGGGGAAUAUUGGGCAAUGGAGGGAACUCUUACCCAGCAAUGCCGCGUGAGCGAAGAAGGUAGUAAUAUUGUAAGGCUCUUUGAUCAGGGACGAAGAAAGUGACGGUACCUGAAGAACAAGCUCCGGCUAAAUACGUGCCAGCAGCCGCGGUAAUACGUAUGGAGCAAGCGUUGUCCGGAAUGACUGGGCGUAAAGGGUGAGUAGGCGGUUUAUCAAGUCGGGUGUGAAAUCCCCAGUGCUCAACACGGGAGUUGCAUCUGAAACUGAUAGACUUGAGUAUGGGAGAGGAAAGUGGAAUUCCUAGUGUAGCGGUGGAAUGCGCAGAGAUUAGGAGGAACAUCAGAGGCGAAGGCGACUUUCUGGCCCAAAACUGACGCUGAUGCACGAAAGCGUGGGGAGCAAACAGGAUUAGAUACCCUGGUAGUCCACGCCGUAAACGAUGGAUACUAGACGUAGGAGGUAUCGACUCCUUCUGUGUCGCAGCUAACGCACUAAGUAUCCCGCCUGGGGAGUACGACCGCAA
rnacentral:rRNA from 1 species